rnacentral:rRNA from 1 species
CCCUUAGAUGUUCUGGGCCGCACGCGUGCUACACUGAGUGGAUCAGCGGGUCAGGUUACGCGAGAGCGUUUCCUAAUCUUCAAAUCCGCUCGUGAUGGGGAUUGACGGUUGCAAUUUUCCGUCAUGAACGAGGAAUACCUUGUAAGCGCGGGUCAUCAUCCCGCGCUGAAUACGUCCCUGCCCUUUGUACACACCGCCCGUCGCUCCUACCGAUUGAGUGGUCCGGUGAGGCUUUGGGGUCUAAGCGAAAAGAGCGUUUCGCUCCUUUUGCUGGGAGAACUCAGUCGAACCUUAUCAUUUAGAGGAAGGAGAAGUCGUAACA